ensembl:lncRNA
UGACAACAGGGCAACUUCCAAUACUUGCAAAGUAGAUAUUUCAUUUAAAGGAGGAAACACUAUGAAAAUGCAAAAGCAUUUGCUCACAAAACACGGGAUAACCUUAAAUGAAUGUCGUGUUUUUAAUUCCGCUCCGGACUCGUGAAUCUCAACCCAGCAGCAGCGGUAACGUUUGCACGUCCUCUCCCGUUAAUGCGGCAGGGCUGUUUGAUGACGAUUUGGACUCCUCUGGGAGAUGAGGACACACCCACAUCUGUUCAAUACUGCAGCCAUUGAUGGUGUUACGGCUCUGAGUCAGCUUUGGGCAUCAGACGCACACACUGGAAAACCAGCACCUGGACUUCAUGCAGGAGAGACGGCCUCAGUGAUGAUGGACUCUGCAUCCUCUACUUUACCUCCUAAUCUCUUUCUCCUUUAACACACAAUUAAAAUCAUUCCAAAAGCGUGUAAACUUACUGAGGAAGUCUCUAACUUGUAUACAUUUGUACUUUUACUUGCUUUAGGAGUUAUAUUUAAGAAGAGUAAAGUUAUUCACAAAAAGUCUUUAUUCUUCUGUAUUUAUUCUUUUGUAUUAUGUACCACAGUCAUACUGAACUUUACAGACCUGGUGAAUUGGAAAAAAAUCAUCUAUCUAUCUAUAUAUGUAUGUAUAUGUAUAUGUUUAUAUAUAUAUGAAUGAAUCAUUGAGCUUCAGCAGUAUUUCUAUUCAUCUUAUGAAUUCCAGUUGUAUAAAAGGCUCUGAGAUUUUAUGGCUAUGUUCUACAAUAUUGUGUGGGGUGGAGUCGCAGGAAAUUACGUAGGCAGAAGUUUGGGGUACAGCGCUGCUACUCCAGAAGGGGAGAUUGUCUUUCCGUUUUAGUUCUGUUUUACCUCGUCACGUAAGCUGUGUUCCUGGUUGCCAUCCUUUCUGCCCUUUCUGUGUUAGGAGCCAGAGAUGUAACAUUGGUAUUAUUCGAGUCAUAUGUUAUGUUAUGUAUAUAUUCAGAUGGAUGUGUUGGUUUAUUUCAUUUAAUAUUUUAUGUUUAUCUUAGUGGAGCUGUUGCUGUAUAUAUUUAUAUACUCAUGGCAAUUUGUUUGUUACUAUAGACUGCUGUCAACACUGAGCAUCUAGGUGGCAAUAAAACAGCUGGCGGUGAAAAUCCAGC